CUUUGUAUAAAGUGCUUCCAAAUUGGUCUCUGCUUACUCGUGGCUCUGCCCAGCCUAAUCGGGAUUACAGGCAUCUCUAAAGACGAUGAUAACCAUUAUGAAGAAUGACAUGCAAAGGCUAUUUGAACCACAUAUCAACAAUUUUCUGACCAUGACCAAGUGAUGAAUAUGAUACAAGUCUACCUCAUGAAAGCCACACUACUUUUCAAAGAAAAAUAUUUUCUUUGGAGUUGUAGGUAUUAUAGUGAAAACUUAAUCCUGACUUCUGUUCUGCAUAAAUGAGACUCGCACUAUGCCAGGUAACAUAAUAUAGCGAGUACCCUGGUUGAGUCAAGAUAAUAUAAAAUAAGUGGAAAGAUAAUGUGGCCCAAGUAGUAAAGGAAAGGAUGUGCAAACAGCCGAAUGUGAAUCUGGCAAUAAUGUGCCUGUUUAAAUGAGUUUUA
rnacentral:lncRNA from 1 species